UUCGCAAUGCCCGAAAGGGUGACGAAGCGACGCCGCGUGGGUGAAGAAGGCCUUCGGGUUGUAAAGCCCUGUCAGGAGUUAUGAAAUGUAGGUGCGAUAAUACCGUGCCUAUUUGACAAAGGCUCCAAAGGAAGCCACGGCUAACUCUGUGCCAGCAGCCGCGGUAAUACAGAGGUGGCAAGCGUUGUUCGGAAUUAUUGGGCGUAAAGAGCACGUAGGUGGGUUUGUAAGUCAGAUGUGAAAGCCUUCUGUUCAACGGAAGAAUUGCAUCUGAAACUGCGAGUCUUGAGUGUAGGAGGGGAGGAUGGAACUUCUGGUGGAGCGGUGAAAUGCGUAGAUAUCAGAAGGAACGCCGGCGGCGAAAGCGAUUCUCUGGCCUAUUACUGACACUGAGUGUGCGAAAGCUAGGGGAGCAAACGGGAUUAGAUACCCCGGUAGUCCUAGCCGUAAACGAUGGGCACUAAGUAGAGGGGUUUU
rnacentral:rRNA from 1 species